GCGGGCGUGGCUCAGUGGUAGAGCACAACCUUGCCAAGGUUGGGGUCGAGGGUUCGAAUCCCUUCGCCCGCUCCA
rnacentral:tRNA from 1 species